AAGGAAGGAAGGAAGGAAGGAAGGAAGGAAGAAACACACUUGCGUGCUGAUGAUAUAGUAGCUUCUUUUCGACGGAAAGACUAAGCGGUGGAAAUGACGUUCGUAUAUACAUAUGUGUAUAUAUAGAAGGAGAGAGAAAAAGUACGUAUAUAUAUAUAUAUAUAUAUAUAUAUAUAUAUAUAUACACGUUGGCAUACACCGUCUGCUUCGUGACAUCUGCACCGACACCUGCGUUCGUAUAAUAGAACCCUCGUCGCCCUUCACCGCCUUCCGAAACAUCUUGUAAACGUAAUGAAGCCCUUAUAUAUCGUACAAACCUUGGAUGAAGUUAUAGUAGUAGGAGUAGUAGUAGUAAUAGUAUCCUUCUAAUAACAUCCGCAACCAAUUAUCCUGAUCGUUGGACGUUGUAGACAUAUCAAAAUAAUGUUCGUUACACUUAUUUUCAGGAAAGUCAACUUUUUUAUCUGGAGUAUACCAAUUUUUUUUGUUCUAUUUUUUUUCUUUUUUCUUUUUUUUCUACCAAAAUUAUGACGUUUACGCGUAACUUAUUUUCAGGAUGCACAUCAGCCACGAUAUCCCCGUGAUUAAACGUCCUCCUUUAAGAAACUUUUCAAUAUUUUUGGGAAAAAGGAAAAA